ACCUGGGUGGCUCAGUCGGUUGAGCAACUGACUUCGGCUUAGGUCAUGAUCUCACGGUUUGUGAGUUCGAGCCCCACGUCGGGUU
rnacentral:tRNA from 1 species